GAUGCUUCAGGUCACAUCUGUAAUGCUACAGAGCUACUGCGGGCUGUGCAGGGUAGGCGACCCUCUUUCAGCAAGACAUCACGGGAUUUGAUUGAUUCAUUUCAUUUUUUCAUGUGUAGUAUCAGUACACAGUAUAUUUCAUGAUUUGUUGUAACAGUAUUAAAAAGUAAUUUGUCUGCUUCCA